UUUUUUUUUUUUUUAAGUCAAGCUCCCUCAUAAUCUCAUAUGAGAGAAUGAGACAACACAAAUAAUACUGAGCAUCUGCGAAUGGAUCUCUCUACCGUGUUUGGCGUUUCUACUCGUAUUCCCUGUCUUCAUUCCUCUCCUCGCGCUAGGAGUAAUAUUACUGAGAAUGUUGCCAUUGAAGGAAGGAAUCUCAGUUUCUCAUUCGCAACAAGGCAAGGGAAAUUUUUUCCCAUUCUGAAGGACUGCUCCCUACGGGUUCCCUCUGGACAACUUUGGAUGCUUCUCGGUCCCAAUGGUUGUGGAAAGUCCACCCUUUUGAAGAUUUUGGCUGGUCUUUUACAGCCAACCAGUGGAACGUUGUAUGUGACAAGGCCUAAAAGCUUUGUUUUCCAAAAUCCGGACCAUCAGGUUGUGAUGCCUACAGUAGAAGCUGAUGUGGCAUUUGGCCUUGGUAAGUUCAUCCUGACUGAGGAUGAAGUUAGGCAAAGAGUGUCAAAAGCUCUGGAUGAUGUGGGCAUGUCUACCUACAUGCAAAGGCCUGUUCAAACUCUGAGUGGUGGUCAAAAACAAAGGGUUGCCAUUGCUGGUGCUCUAGCUGAAGCAUGCAAGGUGCUUUUGUUGGAUGAGCUCACAACAUUCUUGGACCAAAAUGAUCAGAUUGGGGUGAUUAAAGCAGUCAAGAACUCCUUGGUUGCAUCUGAUGAAAUUACAGCUUUAUGGGUGACCCAUCGAUUGGAAGAACUCAAGUAUGCUGAUGGAGCUUUUUAUAUGGAAAAUGGAAGAGUGGUGAAGGUCGGUGAUGGAUCAAGCAUAAUGGAUUUCAUCAACGCCAGUUGAAAAGGAUAUUGAGAAGCAUAAGGAACACUGAGUCAGGGCCAAGAGGCAUUUAUCAGAGGUAGACAGACGGACAGAGCAGUAGAGUAGGCUGCUUGUACCACAUUUUGAGAUUCCGCCGGGUAUAUCGAGUAUACCAUAUUGUGUAGUUUUGUUGUAAUGUAUGUACACUGUAUGUAUAUAUUGUACUGAGUUUUGAGCAAUUGUAAACUAAAAUUGUAAAUUAUUUUGGCUUGUAAAAAUAUUGUAGUAUAUUUAUC